rnacentral:lncRNA from 1 species
GGAAACCGGACGGUGCCAGCGCGCACGUCGUGCGUCCGUCCCACGGCCACAGGUGUCACGCACCAGCAGCGGGCGAGCAGUUGCCACCACCCCCGUUGGCUCGUCGCCGCAUGUUCCCCGGAUCAUGCCGCGCGCCCCGGGCCCCCGUGGCGCACGCGACCCGUCACUUUCGGGCGAAAACGAGGUAGAUAGCUAGAGAGCAAGCAAGCGGAGGCGAGGGCCGCCGCAUCAGCAGCAAUUCAGCAUGCGUCCGCGCAGGCGCACGAGCUCCUGCUGCAGCAGGGAGGGGGUCCGCGGCAGGAACACGGCACAUGCACC